AAGUAUCGGAACGUCCCUAGUGUCACCCGACAGCGCUGACUGAACGCCCCAACAAGGUCUCGGUCACAUGGCUGUACUAACUGAGCCAGAGCAACGCUCGUUCUGGCUUUUCUCUUUCUCUCUUUAUUUUCAGAUUGGGAGAUUGAGUUCCCCGCGGGAGCGCGAUAAAACGCCCCGAUCGCUGGCGGCGGGGGUUGCAGUUCUGACGGUUCGUGGACGUUGCAGUUCUGACCGGUGGAGUCCGGGUGUGUACGACGCGCGCAGUUCUGACCGGAGGAGUCCGGGUGUGUACGACGCGCGCUGUUCUGACGGUCCCCAGUUCUGACGAGGUGUGCCGUUCGUUUUCGACAUUUUCGUUCAAAGUUCAGUGGGCAUCUUCUGCCAAAAUUUACGAGCGGGCCAAUUCGGGUCGAGAGUGUUUGAUAGUGAUAUAAGGUGGAUAAAGUAUAGCUAGUGAAUUGUGACGACUUUUUAAUAAAUUGUGGAGAAAAUUGUGAGAAGAAACAGAUUAAUCAAUAUUCCGAAAAAA